UACGGAGGAUGCAAGCGUUAUCCGGAAUGAUUGGGCGUAAAGCGUCUGUAGGUGGUCAAAUAAGUCAACUGUUAAAUCUUGAGGCUCAACCUCAAAAUCGCAGUCGAAACUAUUAGACUAGAGUAUAGUAGGGGUAAAGGGAAUUUCCAGUGGAGCGGUGAAAUGCGUAGAGAUUGGAAAGAACACCGAUGGCGAAGGCACUUUACUGGGCUAUUACUAACACUCAGAGACGAAAGCUAGGGUAGCAAAUGGG
rnacentral:rRNA from 1 species